AUUGAACGCUGGCGGCAUGCCUUACACAUGCAAGUCGAACGGCAGCACGGGAGCAAUCCUGGUGGCGAGUGGCGAACGGGUGAGUAAUAUAUCGGAACGUGCCCGGUCGUGGGGAUAACGUAGCGAAAGCUACGCUAAUACCGCAUACGAUCUACGGAUGAAAGCGGGGGAUCGCAAGACCUCGCGCGAUUGGAGCGGCUGAUAUCAGAUUAGGUAGUUGGUGAGGUAAAGGCUCACCAAGCCGACGAUCUGUAGCUGGUCUGAGAGGACGACCAGCCACACUGGGACUGAGACACGGCCCAGACUCCUACGGGAGGCAGCAGUGGGGAAUUUUGGACAAUGGGCGCAAGCCUGAUCCAGCAAUGCCGCGUGCAGGAUGAAGGCC
rnacentral:rRNA from 1 species